CAGCCGCCGCGGUAAUACAGAGGGUGCGAGCGUUAAUCGGAUUUACUGGGCGUAAAGCGUGUGUAGGUUGUUGUUCAAGUCAGUUGUGAAAUCCCUGGGCUCAACCUGGGAACUGCUUCUGAGACUGAACGACUAGAGUACGGUAGAGGGUGGUGGAAUUUCCGGUGUAGCGGUGAAAUGCGUAGAUAUCGGAAGGAACAUCAAUGGCGAAGGCAGCCACCUGGGCCUGUACUGACACUGAGACACGAAAGCGUGGGGAUCAAACAGGAUUAGAUACCCCCGUAGUCCCUGUCUCUUAUAC
rnacentral:rRNA from 1 species